rnacentral:rRNA from 1 species
UAGGUUAAUGAGGCGAACCGGGGGAACUGAAACAUCUAAGUACCCCGAGGAAAAGAAAUCAACCGAGAUUCCCCCAGUAGCGGCGAGCGAACGGGGAGCAGCCCAGAGUCUGAAUCAGUGUGUGUGUUAGUGGAAGUGUCUGGAAAGGCGCGCGAUACAGGGUGACAGCCCCGUACACAAAAAUGCACAUGCUGUGAGCUCGAUGAGUAGGGCGGGACACGUGGUAUCCUGUCUGAAUAUGGGGGGACCAUCCUCCAAGGCUAAAUACUCCUGACUGACCGAUAGUGAACCAGUACCGUGAGGGAAAGGCGAAAAGAACCCCGGCGAGGGGAGUGAAAAAGAACCUGAAACCGUGUACGUACAAGCAGUGGGAGCCCUGAUUUAUCAGGGUGACUGCGUACCUUUUGUAUAAUGGGUCAGCGACUUAUAUUCUGUAGCAAGGUUAACCGAAUAGGGGAGCCGGAGGGAAACCGAGUCUUAACUGGGCGUUAAGUUGCAGGGUAUAGACCCGAAACCCGGUGAUCUAGCCAUGGGCAGGUUGAAGGUUGGGUAACACUAACUGGAGGACCGAACCGACUAAUGUUGAAAAAUUAGCGGAUGACUUGUGGCUGGGGGUGAAAGGCCAAUCAAACCGGGAGAUAGCUGGUUCUCCCCGAAAGCUAUUUAGGUAGCGCCUCGUGAAUUCAUCUCCGGGGGUAGAGCACUGUUUCGGCAAGGGGGUCAUCCCGACUUACCAACCCGAUGCAAACUGCGAAUACCGGAGAAUGUUAUCACGGGAGACACACGGCGGGUGCUAACGUCCGUCGUGAAGAGGGAAACAACCCAGACCGCCAGCUAAGGUCCCAAAGUCAUGGUUAAGUGGGAAACGAUGUGGGAAGGCCCAGACAGCCAGGAUGUUGGCUUAGAAGCAGCCAUCAUUUAAAGAAAGCGUAAUAGCUCACUGGUCGAGUCGGCCUGCGCGGAAGAUGUAACGGGGCUAAACCAUGCACCGAAGCUGCGGCAGCGACACUGUGUGUUGUUGGGUAGGGGAGCGUUCUGUAAGCCUGUGAAGGUGUGCUGUGAGGCAUGCUGGAGGUAUCAGAAGUGCGAAUGCUGACAUAAGUAACGAUAAAGCGGGUGAAAAGCCCGCUCGCCGGAAGACCAAGGGUUCCUGUCCAACGUUAAUCGGGGCAGGGUGAGUCGACCCCUAAGGCGAGGCCGAAAGGCGUAGUCGAUGGGAAACAGGUUAAUAUUCCUGUACUUGGUGUUACUGCGAAGGGGGGACGGAGAAGGCUAUGUUGGCCGGGCGACGGUUGUCCCGGUUUAAGCGUGUAGGCUGGUUUUCCAGGCAAAUCCGGAGAAUCAAGGCUGAGGCGUGAUGACGAGGCACUACGGUGCUGAAGCAACAAAUGCCCUGCUUCCAGGAAAAGCCUCUAAGCAUCAGGUAACAUCAAAUCGUACCCCAAACCGACACAGGUGGUCAGGUAGAGAAUACCAAGGCGCUUGAGAGAACUCGGGUGAAGGAACUAGGCAAAAUGGUGCCGUAACUUCGGGAGAAGGCACGCUGAUAUGUAGGUGAAGCGACUUGCUCGUGGAGCUGAAAUCAGUCGAAGAUACCAGCUGGCUGCAACUGUUUAUUAAAAACACAGCACUGUGCAAACACGAAAGUGGACGUAUACGGUGUGACGCCUGCCCGGUGCCGGAAGGUUAAUUGAUGGGGUCAGCGCAAGCGAAGCUCUUGAUCGAAGCCCCGGUAAACGGCGGCCGUAACUAUAACGGUCCUAAGGUAGCGAAAUUCCUUGUCGGGUAAGUUCCGACCUGCACGAAUGGCGUAAUGAUGGCCAGGCUGUCUCCACCCGAGACUCAGUGAAAUUGAACUCGCUGUGAAGAUGCAGUGUACCCGCGGCAAGACGGAAAGACCCCGUGAACCUUUACUAUAGCUUGACACUGAACACUGGUCCUUGAUGUGUAGGAUAGGUGGGAGGCUUUGAAGUGUGGACGCCAGUCUGCAUGGAGCCGUCCUUGAAAUACCACCCUUUAAUGGCUGGUGUUCUAACGUUGGCCCCUUACCGGGGUUGCGGACAGUGUCUGGUGGGUAGUUUGACUGGGGCGGUCUCCUCCUAAAGAGUAACGGAGGAGCACGAAGGUUGGCUAAUCCUGGUCGGACAUCAGGAGGUUAGUGCAAUGGCAUAAGCCAGCUUGACUGCGAGCGUGACGGCGCGAGCAGGUGCGAAAGCAGGUCAUAGUGAUCCGGUGGUUCUGAAUGGAAGGGCCAUCGCUCAACGGAUAAAAGGUACUCCGGGGAUAACAGGCUGAUACCGCCCAAGAGUUCAUAUCGACGGCGGUGUUUGGCACCUCGAUGUCGGCUCAUCACAUCCUGGGGCUGAAGUAGGUCCCAAGGGUAUGGCUGUUCGCCAUUUAAAGUGGUACGCGAGCUGGGUUUAGAACGUCGUGAGACAGUUCGGUCCCUAUCUGCCGUGGGCGCUGGAGAACUGAGGGGGGCUGCUCCUAGUACGAGAGGACCGGAGUGGACGCAUCACUGGUGUUCGGGUUGUCAUGCCAAUGGCACUGCCCGGUAGCUAAAUGCGGAAGAGAUAAGUGCUGAAAGCAUCUAAGCACGAAACUUGCCCCGAGAUGAGUUCUCCCUGAGACCUGGAGUCUCCUGAAGGAACGUUGAAGACGACGACGUUGAUAGGCCGGGUGUGUAAGCGCAGCGAUGCGUUGAGCUAACCGGUACUAAUGAACCGUGAGGCUUAACCUUACAAC